rfam:Ixodes scapularis strain Wikel colony gcontig_1107728946904, whole genome shotgun sequence.
UCCAUGUUAGCUCAGCUGGUAGAGCGCUCCAUUUGUAAUGGAGAGUUCCCGGGUUCGAUAACAGGACCAGGCG